CAGCAAAUAAUCUUGAUGCAGGCAGAAGACAAUCUGUGAUUCUUGCUGAUGAUAAAUUUGAAAUGAAUCGUUGGCAAUACAUUUUCAUUUAGGCAUGGAAUUGCUUUUCAUUUCAGGCUGCUGUAUAGGGACGCUGGGUUGUUCCGGGGCUUUCCUGAAGGCACUAAUCCUUCAUGGUUGGAUAAUUUUUCUCUGAUGUGUAACAUGUCAAAGUUUAUAGAUAAAAUGCUUUACGAAAUUAUACCCUGAUAAUCGAGCAAAAGGGUGAAAACACCCAAAUCUCGGGAAAAAGGUAGAAAACCGUGUGUUUGUGUGAGAGAGAGAGAGUUUGUUUAUUGUCAUAACAGGGACUACACCAGUAAACGGAGACAAGCUCCUCAUACACACUCCUUUUGUCUGCAUAUUUCAUCAGGCUUGUUUCCAUGUUAAAAAUGACUGCUUGCUAGCUCGCAAGCUUAUGUGGCCCCAGUCACACCUGUUGUUGAAGGUUUUUUGAAAAAACUGGCUUAUAUAGGUAGAAAAUCAAAAGCUGGAGCAAGAGAUCCAGUUUAGGCUGGGCAUUGUCAAGUAAUUCAAUUGAUUCUUUGAGUUGUCAUUCGAUACUGGUUCAAUUCAAUAUUGAUUUAUAUGCUUCAAUAUUGAUUUAGUAAUAUGCGUAGAAGGCAGGAAUACACCGAUCUACAUUACAGUACAUGCUGGCGUGUGUUAAAUACUAAUGUACGCAUUGUUUCAACAAGUCCACAAUGUUGCUUCCUAACUGGCUUGCAUACACAGCUGUUGACAAGGACAGUAAUUCAUAUAAUGUGUCACAUACAACCGGGGAUAAAGUUUUAAUUUAUGCACUUCUAUUUACGUUCAAUGUUGUCCCACAAAACUAAGAUUUUGUUGAUACUACAGCCUAGUUUAUGGUAUCAUGAUUUAUGUGGGUUUCUGUGGGGUUAUGGAUAAAUGUAGAAUCACAUCCACUGUAAAUUUAUGACGUUAAUAACAAAAGAAAAGAAAAGUUUUUAAUUUAUUUUGGGUAAAAGCGAUUUUCUCAAUACCUACAGGCUUAAAUGUGGGACCCAAAUCUUGAUACUUUUGUUUUUUUAAAUUAAUAGCAAUUAGCCAUGUUGGAUGUUUGGUCACUUAUUUGCUAGGGUGACCAUACGUCCUCUUUUACUUGGACAUGUCCUCUUUUUGGGGGGCUGUCCAGCUUGGUAUAAAAUUCUUCAAAUGUCCGCGGUUUUGUAUGGAAGUUUCGAGUUUGUGUCUUGUGAACUUACUGAGUGAGAAGCGCGUAAAAGACACUUGAUCCGUCCAAAAAACUCUAAAUUAACUUUAUGCGACUCCGUGACUCCGCCCCCGCAUAGUCGCUCUUUUCAGGGAUUCAGGAUAUGGUCACCCUAUAUGCUGUCCAUAAAACUUCGAAGUACGAUACAAUGUUAGCCUCCAGCUAGCAGCAUAGUGAACACUAGUGCCAAUAACGUAGCCAAUGAAAGCCCAUUCUUUAUCUAAUGUCAAUUAUCGCUUUGUUUCUGUGUGUCUCCUUUAAGUGUGACUGACUUUGAUGUCUCUGAGGCCCAGAACUUGGAAGAUAAAUCCACAUUUAGAAAAUCUGUGCCAAUAAAUAAUAAUUGAAUAAAAGCACAGCCACCUUUUUCUGUGCACUCAACCAGAAGCAACUGGCUGCAGCAUUACUUCUCUAUCUCUAUCUCUCUGCUUAUCUCUCUCUAGACCUCCAGCUGAUCGAAAACUUGAUUCCUUAAACCAACAGAAGAUCACUUCUUUAUUGGACUGAUGGGGCUAUGUUACGGUAUAUUAAUCCUACGCUAAAUUAUGUUUUCUUUUAUACCAGUGUCCAAUUUACUAAUCAAGAGCACAUAAAGAAAUUCCAGCCACAAUAUAACAUUAUUUUCUUUGUGUUUAUUAAGUGUCUUCUCUGUCUGAUGCCAAUCACAUUUCUGUUUAUUGAUCCAACAUGACUUUUAGCUUGACACAACUUUGAUUUUGAAUUAAAACCUGACUGGCAAAAGCUCUGCAUUAAAUUGGAAACUCUUUUUUUUCUCUUUAAUCCCCCUCAAUAAACAGUGUAAUGGAAUAUUCCAGAAAUAACAGUAAUUUGAGCAUCAGUCUUUUGACAAGAAAAGACGAGUAUAAUGGUAAGUCACACUUGAACUGAACUCUGCUCCCACCUGCUGUUUUACAAAGAAAACUGCGAGAAAUUUUCCCCUAAAUCUGAGAAAAUGUCUCCACCCAGCACACGGGUUCAUCACUGUUGAUCUUUGACUAAAAUUAACACUCAAGAAGUAUUAGAAUUAUUAAUAAGAGUGAGGUACAUACAGUAUUAUCUGCUUGUAAAGACCAGGAACAGAGCCUAAUUGAUUGCUAAGUGUCUCUACAGUAAUUACCAGCUGCAGUAAUUAGCACAUGUGCCUACAUGCAUGCAGAGAGAUGUAUGCACACACCCAACCACACAAUCUCUCUUUGUCUCUCAUCUGUUUUCUUUUUUUCCUCACAGUUGCUACCCUGGUGAUCAACCAGCUCAAAAUGGUGGUUAAUGAAGUAGCAAAUCCAAAUCAUUAGCAUAAUUAAUAUGGACUCCUGAUUGCCUUUUGGGUAUCUCCCCCUCUCGCUCUCUUUCGCUCUAAUCUACUAUUGACUUCUUGUCUUGUGCAUUAGUUGAGCUUAUGACUGAUUUUCGACAAAUCUAUAACUUAUUUCCCCAGCUGGAGUUCAGCAGCAAUGUGACCCGCAGGGCAGCCGAGCAUGAAAUCAACAAUUAAAUUCAAGAAGUCUAAGAAAUUAUGAAUGGCUGGACAAAUUUAGAUUGAUUACUUGAAUUUGGACUAGUUCGUGGUUUUUUUAUGUUUGCAGAAAAAGCUUUAGGGCAGGGAAGAAAUUACUGCAGAGAAAAAUAGAGGUAAUUGAACCCAUCAGUUGAGUGCAUACGUGUGCUUUUGAAGAUCUCCAAUAUCUUUAAUUUAACCUAUUGGCUUAUUUGCUAACCACCAGUAAAGAGGAGUAGGUUCAAAGUGGAUAAAUAGUGCAGAAAUUAGCAGAAAUUGAUCUGCGCUCAAACUGCAGCACAGUAUGGCUUUGGCAGUGUUACAGGACUGUUGAAUGGAAAGGUAUGUUAUAGAGAAAACUGUAUACAACAGAAGUAGGUAAAGCAGUAAUUCUUAAAGUGGGAUGACCAUUUGUGAGAAUAAGUUGAGCUUCAAAAGAAGCGGUCGUCCAACUUUUAAAUAAAAUUGAUUCACAUUUCAUCUAUUUUUUAUUCAAUAUAGAAAGAAAAUAUAAAAAAACAGUUCAUCAAGAUUAGCCUAUUUCAUGUUUCAAACAGACCAGAAAUUAGUCUAACAUUAUUCCCCUGCAAAACUAAGUUGCUGCAUGUUGUUAGUGAUACAUCCAUCAGCCAGUUGUUACGCUGUCGAGCAAAUCAUGGUGUGAUUUUUUAUAUGAGAAAACGCUGACCCUUUGCAUUAGCCUUGUAUGGACUCUGCAAACCCCAUACGUCUUCAGGAUUUUUUAUAUAGCCUCUGCAUGGCUCCGACUCGGUUGCAAGUGAGCACAAAUUGGCUGUAAAGCUGCAUGACUAUAGGAGCCUACAGUUUGUCGUUAUAUUUAAUAGUGUAGCUUAAAGACACAAGGCAGGAGUGAGGGAUUUUAAAUUAUGGAUUAACAGAGGGGGAGAAAAGCAGACUUCCCCCUGAAUGUAUAUAUCAUAGUGUGUUGGAUCGUAGGGGCAUCGUUCUGUACCGUUUUGUAAAUUAAGCACAUUUAUGUAACUGCCUGAUUAGGCUCAUUAGAGAUGUUUAUGUUCCAGUUAUUUUUGUGAAGAACUGUCAGAAAGUAAAUUAGCCAGCUGUCCUUUAAUAAGAUGUGGUAAAAGUCCACAUUGAGCUUCAGGAUUUAUGAGUUACCUCAUUAAAAUGAUCAUGUAGUUUGUAUGUGCAAUGAAUACUAGAUCAGUAACAGCCAAUGACUGUAGAGCGUAUUUGUAGGGUUUCACAGAGCUGGGCGCACGUCUGUAAAUUAUGAAUUAUCAGCAUUAAUUUUUCAAUUUAAAUUCUAAUGUGGCCAUUAAUUUGAAAAACAAUCAUUGAAAUCUUUAACUUCAGUUGUUUUUGAUUAUUUCAUUUUCGUAUUUCUUGACCUCACUGCAGGAUCAGCAGAUAUCCGGGGGAGCCCUAGUGAUGUGUUGUCACAGAUGACUCAGUUUUGAAACGCAGCACCUGAACGUAAACAAUAUUAUAUAAAAAGCAGUUUGGGAGCCAAAAGAGCUGGUUCUUGCUGAGCCGAAAGUGAUUGUUAAAGCAUUUAUUCACACUGUGGUUGUUUACGUGAGAAGAAAGAGGGAUCCAAACCUUUUCUACAAGGUAAGACAGAUCUCAGACAACUUGAGCAUGGACAUUUUGCCUUUACAGAUUUGAAGCAGUCCAUUGAUGUUUAUGAGUGUUAUGUGUUUGGAUUAAAUCUUUGAUUGGACAUGGAUUAUGGAGAACAGGAGAGGGACAGACCUUUGGACCAGAGCUUCUAAAUCUAGAGAAAUCUGCUACCUAGAUUUCAUUUAAUGUUUUCAUUUCUAUGCACUCUACUUCUUUGUAAUUAACGUUCAUAUUUGUAUGUAUUCAUCUCACAUGUAAAACAUUCUGUGUUAAUGCAUGUACAGUUCCUUCAUAAAAUACCUGAUUAAGAGUCAUUACUCUUUCAUUGUGAAUUACACUUGCCUACUAAGUUCCUCGAGCCUCCGCCUCCUCUCUACCAGUGUACUCUUUGUCUCUGUAGCUGAAGGGGAAAGACACAAAAUACACUGAGGUGGAAAUUCAAAUCAUUACCGACGCCUCUAAAGUCCAUUGAGCAGCUCGAGAAGGCAGAAGCACAUAUUUUAAAAGCAGGCAGUCGUGCUCUGACAUGCACAUAAACACAUGUAUAAGCAUAAAUCUCGAACAGGCUAUUUACUUAUCAAUCGCUCUUUGUUUGUACUCGGAGCCAAUGUGCGAUGAGCCCCAUCCAAAUCCCCCAGGAUGCCUCAGUGCAAAUGUUCUCCACUGAAAGGCCGUUUGCGGAGAAAUCGAUGCAACCGCAACGCUAUUAGGAACAUUUUAAUUGGAUGUUAAAGGGGAUUCAUUAUUACUGUUAUGACGGCUGAACACAGCAAACGCUGGGAGGCCGCAAGCCAUGUUGAUGUGUGCGUCUGAGAACUUAGAGGCAGCUCGUGUAAUUUGUCAGAAGACGCUGUUCCUGUGCUGCCCUCUAAUGUUCUGUUUCAGUGACUCUGAAACUUUUCUGUUGUUCACAUUGAAACCUCUGCUGAGCCAGAUUGAGAUUUAACAGACACGUGUCUGCUGUGACAUCCUUUGGUUUCAUUGACUGUAUGAAAAAUGGACAUACUCUCAGAGGUUUCAUGAGGCUCAAUGAUGCUGGUUGCCAUAUUGGAAAUUCUGACUUCAGCCAAUGUUAGAGUAAACGCAAAACAUGAAGACAAGUGGGGCUGAAGUUGACUAAAUGAAUGUUGGCUGCUUGCUACAUGGCCGUCUGUUGGUCUAUCAGCAAUGCCAAUGAAUAUGUCUAAAUAUCCAGGCCUGCCAACAGAGGAGCCAGUGGGCUUUGGGCCAGGGGGACCCAGGACUCUGACCUUAAAAACAUCUGCUGAAAUUAAUUGCCAAAACUGGCUUUUUGUUAUAAAAAAAAAAAAAUGUCUGCAUUAAGGACUUGCAUGUAAACCCUGCUCUUUGCAAAGGCAACUCAGCGACUCAUUUACCUCUAUCAAGUUUGCAUGUUAAUUAAAGUGUAAGAACUCCUUAGUGUGUGAAAAUACACGUUUCUGGGCUCGUUCUGAUGUACAACAAUGGAAAUCUCUACUUUGGCAGAAAACAAUAAUACAAGUGUCGUGAAUUUUUUUUUACCAUUGGUGAAUUACAGGCCAAAGUUGGUGCACUGCACAUAAUUAAAGUUGAAGAAUUUUCAUUUGUCAUUGCUUUAUAACAAGGUGAACUAUGUUUGCAUUGGACUGUAUGGGGAACAUAUUCCAAUGUAUUCCAAGUUUGAGUAUGAAUGAAUGAAUGGAUGAAAUUCAAAAACAUAGACAUGGUAGGAUAUCAUAACCAAAAGGUUUAUUACUUAUUUAGUGAUGAGAAAACAAAAACUACCCAUCAGCCUUUGUGCUUAACAAAACAAAUCCAUAGUCCACUGCUCUAAUUCCAUAUUCAGCUCAUGCCCUGCAGUCAUAAAGACUGUGCUGCUUGUAAUCAUCAUUCCAACCUUUGCGCCACCGUCUGAGGUCCUGUGAUCAAUUCAUCAGUAUAAGGGCAAUCUGUUUCAUGUAGCUGGUUAAUAUUCUGAUCAAUAGGCUGAUGCAAAGUGCAAUUAGGUGCUUUGUUUGCUGAUUUGAUUUUGCAGAGGUGAAAGGUUCAUUCCUUAUUAGUCUAUUAUACUGAUAUUUGAUGGAAAGGGAAGACAGUAGUAUGGAUUGAGAAUCUUUUUUUUUGAUUGUUUGAUUUAUUCAACCAUUUGUCGAUUAAUGCUGUGUGCUCACAUGGGCUCGGUCUGUUAUAUAAGGACUUGGACUCUACAAUUUUUGUCUCUGCCAAUGAGCUCUAAGUUAUCUACCAACAUAGGAUAUAAAACAGCAUUAAUGCUUUGGCGUAGAUUUCAUCACAGCCCACAAAUUAUACGCCUUCACGCAGAAUCUAAAGUUGGCACCCACUGUUAUAAGAACUUUUCAGAGUUUGUGAUUUAUAUUGCAAGAUGCUGUCAGUCCAUUUCUCCUAAAUGUGAAACUAAACAACUGUUGUCUUACAUAGUAGCUGUAAGCUAGGUUUAGCGGGCAUGUUAGUUUGAUUAAAUCACCCUUCCAGCAGGCAGAAAAUAUGAGGGUGUUUCACAACAAUUUCAAACUUUCUUCUACUUGCCUUAACGUCACCUCUCACAAAGACUUACAAAGGACUUCUUUCAACCAUUUCUCUUAGUCAAAAUGAAUGAGGACAGCGUACCCUCUGAGUACUCUGAUAGAGUGUGUAGCUCUGUAGCCUGUGGUGCAGUGAAAUCUGUGAGAGAUCUUUGUUUUUCUUAUUGAUUCAUUCAUUUUCUCAAGGCGCUGUCUGUCUGUCUGUCUAUCUGUAUCAGGCAGAGUGAUAGAAGCAACAGAGUGACUAAUAGUACAGAUAGCACUCGAGGCUAAGACAAAGUCCAUUACGACAGGCCUGAUGUCUUCACUUGUGUCGUUCUCAUCUACCAGGCUGCCAUGCAUUAUCAUCAUAUCUCUUUUUGGUGUUUGAUGACAGCUAGUCUCUAACCUCUCGUACGUCUUAACACAGCCAAGUUAGGUCUAGCUAUAAGGGACACACUCCAUAUUGCUCUCCCUACCCUGUGUUAUGCUAUCAAUUGUGUUUAAUUAACACAUAGACACACAGCUGCCCUACUUUAAUAGGAGUUUCCGAAGUUUGUGGUCUUUUGUGCUGUGAGGAAAAGAAAGAAAUGGAGGUGCUUUUAGGAGCCGAGGAAGAGUACUCUGUGACAGAGGGAACUUUUCAGGAGCUUUAUCAUCAAGGAUCAUUGUAGCCUCAGUGGCAAAGUGCUGCCUCAUUAGGACCAGCACAGUAAGCACAUUAAUGUCCUUCAGACACUGAUACGCUCUUUAAUACAGUUGUUCGGCUGCAGACUCUUUUUAAUGAUGAACUCUAACAAGCACAACCAAAGUCUGCUUUGGAUUGUUUUGGAAAAAUCAACAAACAGAUACCACAAAGACAGACUAUCUUAUCCAAAAGUCAACCGGAAAGGAGAAUGUGCACCACCACUAAGUGUUUGAAGAAUUUUUCCAUUUGUUUUAUGCAGACAUCCAAAGGAGCAGAUCCUCCUGGCACUUCCAGACAGGUCAUAUGUCACAGCAUUGAUCAAGUUAUUAAACGGUCAGCGGAGUGCUGUUUGUCAGGGUUAUCCUGUGAAUAAAGAACACCAUUUUUAUCGUGUGGCAAAGGGUCCUGUGGCACUACAGCUGUCUGGAAUAAAAGGCCACGUACAGCACGGUGCAAAAAGAGCGUAGUUAUGCAAAGGUGUUCUGGGACAGCCAUUAACAAGGCUUUCUGAUGAAUGCUAGUUCAACUCAAGAUCCAAAUAAAUGCGAAUGGAAGAUGUUCGUGUUGUGAAGGAGCUUUCUUGGCAGAAAAGUCUAAUUAGUAAAGUUUGGCUGACAAAUGAUUGUUCUGUAUUGACAUGCACAAAUGGAUGGUUAAGAGUGAUAUUAACAACAAUAAAAAGCACGACAACAUUGCGGCCAGAACCUGAUUAUGCAAGAUUCCCAAAAUUUUAAUGAUAUUUUAGUCCAGAUUAAUGACAGAUUGCCUUUUCAAUUCUAAUUUACACUGGGAAAAGUUCAUUAUAUGCUGAAUAAAAAUGAAGACGACAUGACUAGUUACGAUGCCAACCAGUUCAAAUGGGUGGUUGUUGGAUUGUUUACCAAUGGCAGAUGCUCCAUUCCCAGCAACAACCUCUAAUAUUUAAAAGGAGGUGCUGCAGAUCUCAACUUUUGGUGACCUUUGGUGGCCAAGUCCGCAGACCAAAAACUUAAGGCUGGAACAUACAGGAUCCUUGUUGGGCGCGUUCUGUCAGCAUCGUGUGUCACGCAGCAAAUAGGUUGCCAUUCAAAUCAAUGCAGUAUCGCACACAGGACGCGUCAUAACUCCGUCUCAGAAGCGUUGUUGAGCGCCGCUCUGCUAAAGAUACACACCGCUUUGCUAAAGAUACGUGCGUAUCUUUACAAAGUGUGCUUAGGCACACCUCAUCAGCACGGCGGACCUGUCUUGCACCACGCCACUGCCGAGGCACGGAAAUAUACCCCUUAGAGUCACUAGCAGAAACUUAACAUGGAGGGAUUACGCAGUCCAACCUAUAGAAUCGUGACAUAUUGACUAGAUAUACCAAGAAGUAAGAGAGGGUUGGCACACUCCCUAUUCUUUUCCUUCUGGGUUCAAUGAAGGAAAUAAAGAAAAGUCCGUUAUUUUCUUAGUUCUUGAAGAUGGAGAGAGUGUUUCUCCACCUAAAUUGCUUGAAGGCAUCAUCACCACACACUAUCAUUCGUCAACUUCUAGCAAAGUACAUCUUUGUUCAAAGCACUUCAGGAUAAAGCAACUUCCAGCAAUGACCAUUAGACUUCUGAAAUAGACCCCUGUAUUGCAGAAGGUAUUGUGGUUUCAGGCUCAAAUCAGGAAGAUUCAUCGAUAUACUGGCCUUCGGGACUUCAACUCAAAGCUGUCAGACGGAUUGUGGCCAAUUAUAGGGCCUUUUUCAAAUUAUCUCUGAGUCCUAAACAUCCCCGUGCUCUGUCAGAGCUGGCACUAGCUGCAGUGGCUAAUGGCCACUGGCAGCCAGGGCACUAGUUUAACCCAUCAGCGAAAGCCUCUCAGGGGGGCUGAUUAUGCUUGUUUGCAUCUGUCUUCCUCUACUGGUGGAAUGAGAGGGAACCACAAUGCAGACAUAUCAGACAUAGGAGAACAAAUACUGGGCCGAAAUUACAUCAAGCACAACUGAUAGCAGAGGAUGGUGAUACGGAAACUCAGUAGAGUGAGUGUAGUCUUCACUCGCUCCAGUGGUCUGUCUUUUUUUUUUUUUUUUGCAAAAAGACAGGGAUGCAAACAUCUGGACAUCUUAAUUUGACUUUUUUUUUUACUUUUCCUAUUAGCUUGCAAGGUAAUUCAGCUGCAAUCUGCUGAGAAGAAUACGAUACAUCCACCACAUUAAGUCCACACAUUUGUAUGUGCAUGUGUUUGGUUGUAAGCCACUUUUGGAAAGGAGUUAGAAGAAUAGUAAUUAAAUGCUCUCCUUGGCCAGUACAGUCAAGUAAGCUGUAAGCUGUGGUGUGCUGCCAGCCAAGUUAGUUGGCUGUUUGAUGGUAAUAUCUCACUGUUCGCAAGCUGUUGUUUAAUUUAUACAUAAAAUGAAAGUUUUAAUCACAUAACUUUGGAGAUCUGUUGUUAAUAUCACUUAGGAGUGUUAUUAGUGAUGGGCUGGUAGGUUACAAAUCUGCUAAUCACUUUUUAAUGCAUAAUAUGCUAAUCAGAAUUGGAUCUCUGAGAGCUUGUUUGCUUACUUCUCACUUGUUUUGCCUCUCAGGCUGUGCGAGUGUACUCUGUCAGUAAUAUUGUUCCGGCUAAGCUGAAAUAAUUACGUUUAUAUUAAUUGACUUUCCCUGGGAAUAACUGUUGGGCUACUUGGCAACUAUGCAUAUGAGUCAAGAGCGAUGGGAUAUUUGAGAAACUUUGAGCGAGUCACGAUGAAAUCUGAGACACAUAAUAUUUGUGCUAAUAUUUGACACAGCCGAGGUUUCACAAUGGCUAACCAGCAGUUCAUCAAACCUCUCAGAAAAACACUUGUGAAGGACUUUCUUCUGUGAAAUGGACUCGAAAAGAAACAAAAGGCCCUUUUUCCAAACCCUCUUUCUUAAGAUGAAUAAUUCCAAAUAAUCGUCACAUUAAGUCCUUACAACUGGAAAGCAAAACUUAACAGCAGGCAUCACUUUAUUAUCUUUCUUCUAUUAUUGAGCACAGUUUCAUGAUGUAGAAAGUAUCCAGGGAUCUCUGUAAAUCAAAUGCAUGAAUACAUUAGCCUUUUGAAGGUUGAUUUAAUGACUAAUUCAACCUCAUUUAUACACCUGACCUCCAUUAUGAGGUAUAAUAUGGACAUAUGACAUUGAUGGGAACAUGCCAGUAAUGUAGAAAUUUCAGACCCCUGUGAACAUGAUAUAUUACCAGGUGUCAUUAUGGUAAACGGGUUAUUAAAGCUAAUGCGCCGUCAGCUUUCUAUCCCUUCUGUUUAGACCGUUAGAGUGUGUAUCAGGCUUUACAAGCAUGGCAUACACUUCUCUUCACUCUCUGACUUAUACGUGUCACAUUUAUCACAGCAACAAGGCCAUUUAGCUUCACAAUCACCUCCUGAACUACCAUUUCCCAGGAUCAUGUACAAACAAAUUGCACUGAAAGCGCGGUGCAGCUCAGGACAAAUAGAUUGGUGAGGACCCCUUUAGAGGCAGAAGGUGCCAAUGUUUGCCUUUCAAUCUGAAGAGUGUGUGUCAAAAAGACACAUUUUACUUCCUCUCUUAUUUCUCGCCACGGAAAUUGAGA